rnacentral:rRNA from 1 species
GAUGAACGCUGGCGGCGUGCUUAACACAUGCAAGUCGAACGGAAAGGCCCAAGCUUGCUUGGGUACUCGAGUGGCGAACGGGUGAGUAACACGUGGGUGAUCUGCCCUGCACUUCGGGAUAAGCCUGGGAAACUGGGUCUAAUACCGGAUAGGACCACUUCUUGCAUGUUGUGGUGUAAAGUUUUUUCGGUGUGGGGUGAGCUCGCGGCCUAUCUGCUUGUUUGUGGGGGGAUGGCCUAUCAAGGCGUUGGCGGGUAGGCGGGCUUGGAGGGGGUACGGGCACAAUGGGGAUGGGGUAAGGGCCAGACUCCUAAGGGGGGCAAGAGGGGGGAAGAUUGGAACAAGGGGGGGAGGCUUGUGGAACCAAGGCGGGGGGGGGGAGACGGGCUUCGGGUUGUAAACUCGUUUCGCCAGGGACGGAGCGUUGUGUGACGGUACCUGGAGAAGAAGCACCGGCUAACUACGUG